AUGAGUUCUUCUAACUAAUCACGCCUUAUCGACCAAUCUCCAUAUUCAUCCCCACAAAACUCCAAUUCUCUACCCUCGUCGGAAACCCACUUUUGUACAAGAAGAUUCCGGUAAUCGACCUUCUGCCUUCAAAGCGCAAUCUACAUCAAUCGCAGUGCAUCAUGGAGGCGUGCAGAAUGCAGGGCAGCAAGAGUUUUGGUUAAAUUUUUUCGAUAGUAGAGUUGACAUGAACAGCCCUGAAUAUAAUCUAGUAAACAUAAAUCAAUAUGAAACCAAUAACGUUUUCAGCCUUGACGAACAUCUGCCGAUGAAGCAUUUUAAGACGGCUUCAUCAUAACUACCAGAUAGAUCAGUUGUAGGAGAAAGAUAACCAGAAAAAGAACUUUGAGCCACUGGUAAAAGUACAAACCUGUUGAAGCUCUCAAAACUCAAAAAUGCGCUUGAAGGUUCAUCUGCCAUUACUAAAGAUGAUUGCUGAAAGUUGGCGAAUGGAUAGCGGUUCAUCGGGCGACAAUGGCAAUUAAAGACGUUGAUGGGAUGCUAGCUUCUUUGGAUUCCCGAGUAUUAUGAUAUUUUCAUCAAGUAUGUAACCUUCAUUUUUUUUUUUUUUUUUUUUUGGCUAAUAAAAGGAAAUUUUAUUACCAAAAGGCUAAAACACGGAAACCAAUAACAACCAAGAAGGAAAAUUUGGUAAUAUUAAUCCAACCUUUGGCCGAUUUUCUUUUAUUAAUCCCACCUACGACAUAUUUUUUAAUAAUCUCACCUUUACUACCCAAUAACUUUUAUUGGGCUCAAGUGAUCGAAAAUCGGUGAAAAAGUCAACGAGAUGGUGAUGAAUUGAUGAUAAUGACUGAAUAUAUCGAGAGAGGGUACUUCCACGUAGAGACAUAUUACCGUCUACAACAAGUUUAUUACCUGUUAGGCCCAAUAAAAGUCGUUGGGUAGUAAAGGUGGGAUUAUUAAAAAAUAUGUCGUAGGUGGACUUAAUAAAAGAAAAUCGGCCAAAGGUUGGAUUAAUAUUACCAAAUUUUCCCAACCAAGAAUUACAAAACUUGAAAAACAACCAAGAAGCACAAAGCAUCAGGGUGAAAUUGGGGUGAAUUUGGAAUUGUUGCUCAUAUGAUGCAGUUUUGUUGGCUAUAUACCAUAAUGUAGGUUCAGAAAGCAGACAAAAUGGGCUUAUAAGCACUAUAACUCUAGAACAUUUAGUCCUAGACUGAGGGAAAUUAUGCAUUCCUCAUUCCACAACCCCUUUUCCUACCUGGCAGUAUAUGUAACCGCCUUCAAUCAUGUAUAGAAGAACUCGAUGGCAAAUUUGGACAUUGUAUUAGGAUAUGCACUAGGUGGAUAGAAAUAGUGAAACAUAACUGUGUACUUAUUCUUGAUAGAGUCUAUUUAUUUUGAAUGUUCUCUUAGAAUUGCCAAAAUAUAUCUCGAACUUUGAAAGAUGGCUGGUAUAGUGUUUGAGUUAGGUAAAAUAGUUAUAGAUUUGAUCGGGUUGUUGUAACUUUCUUUGCAACGGGUUGGCAGUUCUAUACCCAUAUUACAGCAUAGAUGCGCCCAUGAUUGAAAAGAGAUUAUAUGGUUCAGUACUUUUGGAGGUGAUUCCAUUUACUGUUUGUGACAGAAGCAUGCUGCAAUAUUGAAUUGCACUCCUCUUUUCUGCAUGUUGGUAUUGUCUAACUUGAAACCAAAUGCCAAGUGGAUAACAGUAAAUCGAUCUGAAGCAUGAAUUGUCUGAUAUUGAAGAAAAAAAAGAAUAACAUCCUGUUGCCUGCAAUUAUUAAUGAUAAGGUUUGAAGGAGGACGGAAGAGGAGGUCUAAAUAUAUCAAAUGAUUGCAUGCUAGCAAAGGUAGUAACCUGGUUGUGGCCCUUGGGAGAUCGUUGAUAUUCCUCAAAGUUUAUUGGAACAUGGUAGGAAUAGUGCAUUUUCCAAUUAAUGUUUAUCAUGUUGGUUUAGUUUGAUGUGCAUACUGGUAAUUGGCUUCAGCUUUCUGGGUGCUGAUCAAAUGGGCUGUGCCAGCAUUUGUAGGAUAGUGUGUUGAAACCGUUUUUUGGUCAUUUUAUCAUGCAACUUGAUAUCAUAUGCCAGAGAUAGUUUCCUAUGAAAUAGAAGCAUGAACUUGUAAUAUUGUAGUAUGCAUAGCUAGGGGAAAUACUAUUAUAGGAAAUAUGUGACAGGAAAGGCAUUGAAAAUUGUGAUAAUGGGACUAAAUGAUUCAAUUUCUACUUCAACAAUGUCUUUGAAUAGCUACGGUGGGAAAGGGGGGAGAGCCGAAGGGAUUAUUGGUCUUGUGUUUCCUCUUCUAUUCCCCCAAUCUAUAUCCAUAUCAAGGGAAUGGAUCCAUCACUCUACCUUUCCACCAACUCAAUUCAAAUCAUCUCUUCCAAACACUCUGUCAAUACCUAGAUAGUCAAGAAAGAGAAAUAACUUUCAGGCUUUGCUUUAGUCUUCUCCUACAAAUUUUGUUUGCUAAUUCCUCCCUUCUUUUCGACCUUUGGUACUCCGUAUUGGAUAUAGAUAAUGGUUUUUUUAUUCUUUUACAGGAUGAUUCAGUGAAAUGGAUGGGUACUGACUACUGAGUACUGACAAAAUUGGAAAUGGAAGACUCUAAAACCUGUAACCCCCAUUUUCACUUUGUCCCAUGUAAGACGAGACAUUUGAUAGAUGUCAUAUUAACCGGAGAUUGUACGGCUUGGAAUGUGAAACCAAUCAAAUUAAAUGUAUGAGAAAAGAUAUUAAGGA